UGCGUAGGCGGAUAAAUAAGUCAGUGGUGAAAUCCUACAGCUUAACUGUAGAACUGCCAUUGAUACUGUAGAUCUUGAGUACGGUUGAGGUGGGCGGAAUGUGUCAUGUAGCGGUGAAAUGCUUAGAUAUGACACAGAACACCAAUUGCGAAGGCAGCUCGCUAAACCGUAACUGACGCUGAGGCACGAAAGCGUGGGGAGCGAACAGGAUUAGAUACCCUGGUAGUCC
rnacentral:rRNA from 1 species